rnacentral:rRNA from 1 species
GCUUACGGCUAUACCACCCUGAAUGUGCCCGAUCUCAUCUGAUCUCGGAAGCUAAGCAGGGUCACGCCUGGUUAGUACUUGGAUGGGAGACCGCCUGGGAAUACCAGGUGCUGUAAGCU